rnacentral:rRNA from 1 species
CACGAGUUUGAUCAUGGCUCAGAACGAACGCUGGCGGCAUGCCUAACACAUGCAAGUCGAACGAGACCUUCGGGUCUAGUGGCGCACGGGUGCGUAACGCGUGGGAACCUGCCUUUAGGUUCGGAAUAACUCAGAGAAAUUUGAGCUAAUACCGGAUAAUGUCUUCGGACCAAAGAUUUAUCGCCUUUAGAUGGGCCCGCGUUGGAUUAGCUAGUUGGUGGGUAAAGGGCCUACCAAGGCGACGAUCCAUAGCUGGUCUGAGAGGAUGAUCAGCCACACUGGGACUGAGACACGGCCCAGACUCCUACGGGAGGCAGCAGUGGGGAAUAUUGGACAAUGGGCGAAAGCCUGAUCCAGCAAUGCCGCGUGAGUGAUGAAGGCCUUAGGGUUGUAAAGCUCUUUUACCCGAGAUGAUAAUGACAGUAUCGGGAGAAUAAGCUCCGGCUAACUCCGUG